UACGUAGGUGGCGAGCGUUGUCCGGAUUUAUUGGGCGUAAAGGGCGUGUAGGCGGCUUCUUAAGUCCGAGGUGAAAACACGGGGCUCAACCCCGUGAGUGCCUCUGAUACUGGGGAGCUUGAGUGCUCUAGAGGGUAGUGGAAUUGCCGGUGUAGCAGUGAAAUGCGUAGAGAUCGGCAGGAACACCAGUGGCGAAGGCGACUGCCUGGGGAGUAACUGACGCUGAGGCGCGAAAGCAUGGGGAGCAAACAGG
rnacentral:rRNA from 1 species